rnacentral:snRNA from 1 species
AGCCGUGCUGUGAGCACAGUGCGAACUAUUCUUUCGCCUUUUACUAAAGAAUACCGUGUGCUCCCCGCCUAAAGCGGCAUAGGCCUAUUUUUGGAGGGUUGUUUUGUUACUGGAA